CGCAGGGCGCCCCCGGCAGCCAUAUAGACUCUAUACCCGGCGUAUAAGACGACCCCCGACUUUGGAGAAGAUUUUCCAAGGUUAAAAAGUCAUCUUAUACGCCAGAAAAUACAGUAUUUGCACUGUUUGUAUUCCCUUUCCUCAUUAAGUGUUAGCAUUUAAGUAAAUAAUGAAAUUAUAGAAUGAAUGCAAAUUGUAUGGCAUGGACCAUCUGAGUAUUGUAUGAUAAAAGGAAAAUUAGUAAAAUUUGUGAAAACAUUUUUUUUAUAAAGAUCGAGAGAUAUCUUCAGAAAAGGACAGACAAAAUACAUAGGUUUGCAUAUAAAAAAGCUACAUGUGGUAGAGUUUUAAAAAUGUUGAAUGUUGUGAUAUGAGGUGCAAAUAUAAGAAAACCCACAGAAACUGCAAUUCAAUGUACUUUAUAGAAAAAAAAAGUUGAAGGAAGCACG